rnacentral:tRNA from 1 species
UCCCUUGUGGCUCAGCGGGUAAAGAAUCUGCCUGCGAUGCAGGAGACCUGGGUUAGAUCCCUAGCUUGGGAA